GAUAUAACUGUCUUCUGAUAUCUUUAUUUACCUGUUUUCUUGUUUCUCCACAUCACAUUUCCAGACUGCAGGCAUUCAGAGGAGAAUCUCCAGAGCCCAGCUGUGUGUCUAUGAUUAGCUAUCAUUCCAUGGAGCAGCCUCUUUAUUUCAGUAAUGAAAGAAGCAGCACUGAUCUGAGAAAUACAUUCAGAGCAGAAUCUCCAGAGCUCAGCUGUGUGUCUAUUAAGAGCAACCACUCGAUGCAGCAGCCUCUUAGUUUCAGUCAUGAAAGAAGCAGCACUGAGCCAAGACUGCAGACAUUCAGAGCAGAACCUCCAGAGCCCAGCUGUGUGUCUUUGAGGAGCAACCACUCGAUGCAGCAGCCUUACAAUUUCAGUAAUGACAAACUUACCACUGAGCUGAGACUGCAGACAUUCAGAGCAGAACCUCCAGAGCCCAGCUGUGUGUCUUUGAGGAGCAACCACUCGAUGCAGCAGCCUUACAAUUUCAGUAAUGAUAAAUUUACCACUGAGCUGAGACUGCAGACAUUCAGAGCAGAACCUCCAGAGCCCAGCUUUGUGUCUAUGAGGAGCAACCACUCGAUGCAGCAGCCUUACAAUUUCAGUAACAAAAAGCUGAGACUGCAGACAUCCGGAGCAGAACCUCCAGAGCCCAGCUGUGUGUCUAUGAGGAGCAACCAUUCGAUGCAGCAGCCUUACAACUUCAGUAACAUCAAAUGUACCACUGAGCUGAGACAGACAUUAAGAGUAGAACCUCCAGAACCCAGCUGUGUGUCUAUGAGGAGCAACCACUCGAUGCAGCAGCCUUUUAAUUUCAGUAACGAAAGAAGCAGCACUGAGCCGAGAGCAGAACCUCCAGAGCCCAGCUGUGUGUCUUUGAGGAGCAACCACUCGAUGCAGCAGCCUUACAAUUUCAGUAACAACAAAUGUAUCACUGAGCUGAGGUGAGAAACCAGCAUGGGAUGAGAGUGAGUUUAAACAGGGUGUUUUUUGUAGUAAGUCUGUUUUUUUCUUUUUUUUGGUCAUCUCCAAUGAAAAGUACUUUUUAACACUACAUUUUUUCUACCUUCCAGUAAAAAAAAAUCAGGCUGCACAGAAUAUUGUUUAAGCAUUGUCAUCACACAGCAUUCAUGUGAAAUAAUCUUUACAGUACAUUGCAGUAUGUGUGACGCCACGUGAAGCAAAUAAAUAAAAAAUGUUACUCA
ensembl:lncRNA